UGAUGACUUCGCAGGCGGGCUGCCGGGCCUUGAUUGCCUGCAGGAGGGUCAGGCCGUCGGUAUCCGGCAGUUUGAGGUCUACCAUCGCCAC
rnacentral:tRNA from 1 species